GUCUUUUUGUUUAUAAAUUUAAAGUCUAACCUGCCCAUUGAAUUAUUUUAACUUAAAAGGCUGCGGUAUUUUGACCGUACAAAGGUAGCAUAAUCAUUAGUUUUUUAAUUGAAAACUUGUAUGAAUGGUUGAAUGAGAAAUUAACUUUUUUUUGUAAAAAAUUGAAAUUUACUUUUUAGUUAAAAGGCUAAAAUAUAGUUAAAAGACGAGAAGACCCUAUAGAGUUUGAUAAAUUUAUUUUUAUUAUUUAAAAAGUUAAAACUUAGUUAUUUAUUUAAGUUUAUUUUGUUGGGGUGAUAAUAAAAUUUAACUAACUUUUAUAAAUUUUUGAACAUUAAUAUAUGAUUAUUUGAUCCAGUUUUAUUGAUUAAAAAAUUAAAUUACCUUAGGGAUAACAGCGUAAUUCUUUUUUAAGUUCUUAUUAAUAAAAGAUUUUGCGACCUCGAUGUUGGAUUAAGAUUUAAUUUUAGGUGCAGUAGCUUAAAUUUUAAGUCUGUUCGACUUUUAAAUUCUU
rnacentral:rRNA from 1 species